rnacentral:rRNA from 1 species
AUCUGGGUGGCGGAAUUCAGGAUGGCUGGCGUACUCUCGCGGUGCGUCAGUCGUUUGCAAUUUCCGUCGCCAAUUACCGCAGACGUCGCGACCUGUUCGCGGUCGGUCCCUGCUCGGAGGAGCCGCGUUCGAGCUCGUUGUGUGCGCGUUUCGGCGUGUCACACGGCGAAGGCGCGGAUCUCUGGCUGGCCGUCGGACAGUAUGCUUAACGGUGUCCGGUGUCGUCGUCUCGUACGCGCGGCAUCGGUACCGGUCAGCGACGAAUUCUUCGGGCCUCUUUCCGACCCGUCUUGAAACACGGACCAAGGAGUCUAACAUGCGCGCGAGUCGCGGGGUAUCGAGCGUACUUCGGUGCGUUCGUUAUGUUGCGAAACCCGUACAUGUUGAAGGCGUAAUGAAAGUGAAUGGGGAAGAUGGCGCUCCGAGUUCACGUUCCGCGAUCAUUGGUAUCGCGGCCGGACGCCCGCAUUCCCGGGGCGUCUCAACGGCCCGUCGCUGAUGCGGACCGUCGUCCUUCGGGGCGGCUGUCGGUCGGCGACGAACCGA